rnacentral:misc_RNA from 1 species
UCAGGUCCUUGGGCCUGCUUGCGGUUUGGUUACAAACACAAGCUUGCCUUAAAUGAAUUAGCUGAGCUUCAGCAGAGUUGUUAAGUAACAUUGAAAACUCUCGUAAGAAGAAGCUUGCUCUCUAAUCUUUGUCGUCUUUUGUGGACGAUAAUAUUUUCUAUUUUGGCCUCAAAUCAGGUAGGACUACCCGCUGAACUUAA